AUGAUAAAUAGUCAAGAAAAGUGGAGGAAGAGAAAGAAAAAGCUUGUGGGAUGCCCCAGGCAUGGAAUUUGGGGAAAAGUGGUGACAGCGUGUGUGAAAACUUGCAAAAACAAGAUGCAAGAAAAAUGGGGCAGAGUGAAAAAAGAUAACAUGGAAAAUAAUGAGUCACAAGAAACCUAGGAUUGAAGCAACUCAUAAUAUCACAAAAGAAGGUAAGAUAAAAAGAAAUACAAGAAACCUAGAUACAUUCCAGAUUUGAGUUA
rnacentral:lncRNA from 1 species